rnacentral:rRNA from 1 species
AACCCUGGAAAGGCGGUGGAAACUGAACGGCUAGAGUGCAGUAGGGGUAGAGGGAAUUCCCAGUGUAGCGGUGAAAUGCGUAGAGAUUGGGAAGAACACCGGUGGCGAAAGCGCUCUGCUGGACUGCAACUGACACUGAGGUGGUCGAGACUACACAGACGAAAGCUAGGGGAGCGAAUGGGAUUAGAUACCCCAGUAGUCCUAGCCGUAAACGAUGGAUACUAGGUGUGGCCUGUAUCGACCCGGGCCGCGCCGUAGCUAACGCGUUAAGUAUCCCGCCUGGGGAGUACGCACGCAAGUGUGAAACUCAAAGGAAUUGACGGGGGCCCGCACAAGCGGUGGAGUAUGUGGUUUAAUUCGAUGCAACGCGAAGAACUUACCAGGACUUGACAUGUCCGGAACCCUCUGGAAACAG